GGGCACAUGCUAUAGUUAGUUAUCACGCCCGCUCAGCAUAAUCAUACAAAUACCACGUUACGCUGCUGGCGGGUCCUCGGUUCAAUUCCGGGUGUGUCUA